rnacentral:rRNA from 1 species
AUGUUUACAAUGCUUGUUGGUUUGUGCGGUGCAGGACAGAAACUUUGGCUGUACUGUGUGAUUUUACAUUUUUUACUGCAACGUCAAAUGGUUCUUAUUGUUUUUGCACUGUCUUUCUAUACAAAUUUUUUAUUUUUCCUAAUUUUGGUAGAAUUUUUGGAGUACCAGAGGUAUGGUGAAUGUUCAGAUUGUUACAGACUGUUCUGUUUUAGACAGAUUCUGUUUUUGAUGCAUAUUUUGCUUGUUUUGAUGAAACUAUCAAUUUAUAUCAGUGGAUUAAGCCAUGGAAAAGUUAUAUUACAGUAG